UUUUCCAUUUGACGAUACGAUGAUACCUACCCUAAACCUGAAUUUGAGAGUAGACCUAUUAGAAAUGAUUACUUACUCUUCAUUCACAGAGAAAUCGGCUUGUAUGUGCAUUCUGCUUAAUGGAGAUAUUCCAACAAACAGUAAAUUAGGAUUACCCGUGCCAAAAACGAAAUAGACUGGACGUUUUUAAUUUCGUUAUCAAUUUCCAUCAGGAUGUUGAGUGUAAAUCAUCACAUUUCAGGUUGCGUUCUUUUCAGUCGCCAAAAGCGAGAGAGAGGGAAGAAGAUGAAGAACUAUCAUUUUUCGCUGUGAAACGAACUGCAUAAUCCCAUUGUAAAUCCUUUAUUUUUAAGCACGGCAAACGUUAAUCUAUAUCCCACGACUUAUAUCUAAAACAAGCUUUGUAGGCCCCUUGAGAGAAAAUGUUGUCCUGGAUCAGGAAAAAUAGUCUGAACAGUUUUUGUGAACGCUCUUUUAUUACAACAGUACAAUGGAUUUAGGACAAGACGUCACGCGCUUUUUGUUCGAUAAAAAAAAAACCUGUGGCACCAAAGCAUUCCGUUAUACAAAAGGUAUCCUGAGUCAAAUGUUUUUGUUAUAGGGGCACACCUGGUUGUUAUGACUCGCUCAUUUACAAGCCUCAAUUCAGCCGAAUGGGAUGUUAGGAGCAAGAGGUUUUAACUCAUAUUUGAAACAGAAUAUACAGUGAAUGUAUAUCUCGAUGACCGAACCUAGACGUUGUGGGUUAAGUUGCACCUCCGUUGUUGCAUAUUGUCGCUAAGCUGCAUAUUUGACUUUCAAAUUAGCUUACGUUCGUUUGUAUACGGCAUACAGUCUGUACAGUGUCAAGAGUGGUUUUCAUUUGAACAACCUCAUUUCUUGACGCGAUAAAGAGUGAAGCCGUUAUCGUGUUUUUGUGUUGGUGUGUGUUUACAUACGUUGUAGGGUAAUUGACUUACAGGUUAUAUUACCAGUGUAUAACACUUCCGAGACUGACACAGGACUGACCAACAGUCGUAGCCAACAGCAAGAUGUAGCCUCGGCUGCUUCUUUUGGCGAUAAAGAAAAAUAUGUGAAUGACGAAAAUGGAAUUGGUUGUAGUGAAACGUCUGGCGCUGACUGCAAUGCCUACUUUCGUCGCACUUGUGAUUACACUAGCGAUCAUCGAUUUUCGGGGAAUCUCAGCACUGAAAUGUCACCAGUGUACAAACUGGCUGAAUUCCAAUACGAAGUGUAACAAUGUGACUGUGCAGUGCACCGACCCCACUCACGACGCUUGCUUUACUGAGGUGAUGAGAUCUGCUGCUUUUGACAAAAAAUAUAGAAAGGGCUGCAUCAACUUAAGUAAAUGUGAAGCUGACCAAAAUAUCAAUAGUAGGAAAUAUUGUACUCAAAUUCCAUCAGAUUGUACCUAUUGCUGUAGUGGAGAAGACCUAUGUAAUGCAUUCAACACAGGAACUCAUCUCUCACAGAGAUCUACACUUAAAUAUCUGGCUACAAUCUUUAUUUUAUCUAAGUUUGUACUAGAAUUGGUGUCUUGUGGAUAACAACCCUAUGCUUUUAGUGAAUGCCAAGACAUUUCAUAAUUUAUAACUCCGAGGAAAAAUGGGGUUAUCACCACAAGCAGCAUAUCGGCAUUCAAAGGUGCACUUCAUUCAUAACAAGUGUAACUUUGUUCAUUCAAU
rnacentral:lncRNA from 1 species